ensembl:misc_RNA 7SK 7SK RNA
GGAUGUGAGGGCGAUCUGGCUGCGACAUCUGUCACCCCAUUGAUCGCCAGGGUUGAUUCGGCUGAUCUGGCUGGCUAGGCGGGUGUCCCCCUCCUCCCUCACCGAUCCAUGUGCGUCCCUCCCGAAGAUGCGCGCUCGGUUGAAGAGGACGACCUUCCCCCCCCCCCCCCCCCCAGGAGAGGACCGGUCUUCGGUCAAGGGUAUACGAGUAGCUGCGCUCCCCUGCUAGAACCUCCAAACAAGCUCUCAAGAAAAGAAAUUUAGAGACAGAGAAGUCAUCAGAAUGUCUCAAAGACAGAAGAAAGUUGGAAGCAGCAUCUGUGAAUAAGGCAGCUUUUUUCUUUCUUU